GACUAACGCUGGCGGCGUGCCUAAUACAUGCAAGUCGAACGGGAUUCUUUGAUCAGCUUGCUGAGAGAAGGAUCUAGUGGCGGACGGGUGAGUAACGCGUGGGAAUCUGCCUCUUACUGGGGGAUAACAGUGGGAAACUACUGCUAAUACCGCAUAAGAUCUUCGGAUGAAAGGUGCAACUGCACCGGUAAGAGAUGAGCCCGCGUCCCAUUAGCUAGUUGGUGAGGUAAAGGCUCACCAAGGCGACGAUGGGUAGCCGGCCUGAGAGGGUGAACGGCCACACUGGGACUGAGACACGGCCCAGACUCCUACGGGAGGCAGCAGUAGGGAAUCUUCCGCAAUGGGCGCAAGCCUGACGGAGCGACGCCGCGUGAGUGAUGAAGGCCUUGGUCGUAAAGCUCUGUUCUUGAGGACGAAUAAGCCAGGGAGUGGAAAGCCCUGGUGAUGACUGUACUCAAGGAGAAAGCUCCGGCUAACUACGUGCC
rnacentral:rRNA from 1 species